UACGUAGGGGGCAAGCGUUGUCCGGAUUUAUUGGGCGUAAAGAGCGUGUAGGCGGCCAGGUAGGUCCGCUGUGAAAACUCGAGGCUCAACCUCGAGACGCCGGUUGAAACCAUCUGGCUAGAGUCCGGAAGAGGAGAGUGGAAUUCCUGGUGUAGCGGUGAAAUGCGCAGAUAUCAGGAAGAACACCCGUGGCUAAGGCGGCUCUCUAGUACGGUACUGACGCUGAGACGCGAAAGCGUGGGGAGCGAACAGG
rnacentral:rRNA from 1 species